UGGGGUUGUGGCUCAGUGGUAGAGUGCUCGCUUAGCACAUGUGAGGCACUGGGUUCGAUCCUCAGCACCACAA
rnacentral:tRNA from 1 species